GUUCUCCGAAAAUGAAAACACUUCUUAAAUCUCUAACCCUAAAUCUAACAGUGAGUUCCUAAAAUCAAAGGGAGAAUUCGUUGAGAUGUAAAAGCAAAUGCGUUGGCAGAUGAAUUGUUACACAAUAUGAUAACCGACCAGUUCAACGAAAGAAAAGAGGAUAAUAGUAUACGAUACUUCAAUCAGUUCUUUCCAAAAAUUUACAUGAACAAUCCAAUGCUAUGUUCAGUUUGCUAUGAGAUGCUUGAGGAUUAAUGAACAAAGAGACAAUAAGAGAAAUCAGGAGAGUAACUAGUAGCAGUCCUAAAAAGAUUAAUGAAUAUGCAACUCCCUCACCCAACUCUGUAUACAAAAUAUCCAUUCAUCUCAGAUUCUUUGCUAGCACUUGUCAAUGAUAGCAUAGCACAAUGAAGAUAUUUGUACCUGUAUUACGAUUUCCACAGAACCCCUUUUUGGUUAUCAUCAGAAGAAAAAUCAUGAGAACAAAUCCAUUAANNNNN
rnacentral:lncRNA from 1 species